AUAGCACCCCACGUCCACCGCCUCUUCUGAGCCCCCCCCCACACAGACACGCAUCCCUACGGCGUGAGAUGUGGGGCGGCCCCGUGGGAACCCACGUGGAUCUGAGACGGAACCGCUGCCCUGCAAGGACCCAACGCACGUGGAGCUGCGUCUGUCCGUCCUGAGCUCUGUCUGUCCGGGCACGGAACCCCGUAUACCCCCCCCCUCCCCCGCAACGGCUGCUGCGGUGCCACCGGUGCUGGGAGACGCGCGCAAACAUCUGCGAGGCCGCCCCAGCAAUUAACGCGCUUUAAUCACUCCUCUGUUUCCUUCGGGUCCGUUUUAAGCGUCAUCCUUCGGAUGUGCGAACCGCCGUGCAAAUCAAAGCCGCCUCUCUGCUGCCCCAACCCGGGACACCCCACGUUCCCCCCCCUUUUUUUCCCCCCCUCCCCAUCCGUGCGCUCCCGGCGCGCUUUGGUCCUUCACCCCAUCGGUCGGAGCAUCACAGCGGUACCCACCGCCCCCUCUGCCCCCCCGUUGGGGCUGUGCCCCCCCCCUCAAUUGCUUUUCCCGUGCCCGGGGGGGGGGAUGUAAUGAUGUAGGGUGGCACCGCUUUGAGGAGGAAAUGAUAACAGCCGGAGUUGGACGAAGCUCUGGGGCGGAGCGGCACCCCCGGCAAUUGGGGCCGAACGAUUCGCGGUGCUGCGGCUCCGUUUCUUUCCCAUCCCGUUCCUUUCCGCCCCGCAGCCCCCGCUCCUCCUUCCCGCAGGAAUCCGACGCGUUCCUGAAAGGAGGAAGGAAGGGGUCCCCGCCGCCCCCUCCCCAAAGCUUCAAAGAGUUUUCCCCUUCCUCCCUUCUCUUCUUGACCCCCCCCGGACAGAAGGGGCUCGGAAGGGUGAGUCCUUAAUUAUGGCCGGGGAUGACAAACCCACCCUGCUCCUUUCUUGUGUAUUGAGGUGAGACCCGGGGGUGGGAGGGGGCGGCUGGGGGUUUGGGGAGAGAAAACGCUUUGGAGAGCAUCCCCAGAGCCACCCCCACGGGAUGGGAACGCGGCGCUGGGGGGGGGGGCGGGGGGGGUGUACAUCUAAGGGUGCAGUGCUCAGCUCUCAUCCUUGUGCGUAGGGGUACCCAAAAUCAGGGGGUGUCUGGAACUGGGGGUGCCCAGGACCCAAGCUGUACCCAUUAGCGGGGGGUACCCGGCAUCGAGGGGUGCCCAGGGGNNNNNNNNNNNNNNNNNNNNNNNNNNNNNNNNNNNUGGUGGGUCCCCAUCGCCCAGGGGUCCCCUGUGCCAAGGGGUCCUGGUGCCCAGGGGUACUUUGCACAGAGGGUCUCCCAGUGCCAAGGGGAGGGGGGGGCAUCAUCGGGGGUGCAUGGUGCCAAGGGGUCCGCAGUCCCUAAAGGGGUCCCAGUGCCUCCCAGUGCCUCCCAGUGCCUCCCAGUGCCUCCCAGUGCCACGGGGUCCCUGGCACCAAAGGAUACUGAGAUCCUGUAAGUCUCCCCGACACCAAGGGAUACCCA
rnacentral:lncRNA from 1 species